rfam:Nicotiana sylvestris Nsyl_contig63153, whole genome shotgun sequence.
AUGUGAUGAUGUGGACAUUUUCUUAACAUUGUUUUCAAUCUUUGCCAAGCUUGAUAAACUGACUCAGUGUCAGUCUAUAAGAAGUUGGAUAUAUCAUGUCUUAACUU